UACAGGGGGUGGCAAACGUUGCUCGGAAUCAUUGGGCGUAAAGCGCACGUAGGCGGUCUGUUAUGUCGGAUGUGAAAGCCCUUGGCUCAACUGAGGAAGUGCAUCCGAAACUGGCAGGCUAGAGUACGAAAGAGGAUCGCGGAAUUCCCGGUGUAGCGGUGAAAUGCGCAGAUAUCGGGAGGAACACCUAUGGCGAAGGCAGCUGCGCUGGGACGUUACUGACGCUGAGAA
rnacentral:rRNA from 1 species